AUGAACGCUAGCGGCAGGCUUAAUACAUGCAAGUUGAGGGGCAGCAUGAUAUACGCGAGUAUAUUGAUGGCGACCGGCGGACGGGUGAGUAAUAGGUAGGAGACCUACCUCAUACAAGGGGAUAGCAUAGAGAAAUCUGUGGUAAUACCCCAUGAGGUUAUAUGAAUAGAGGCAUAUAAUCAAAGCAUAAGCGAUUAUGCGGUAUGAGAGGGGCCUACUGACCAUUAGCUAGUUGGUGAGGUAAGGGCUCACCAAGGCGAAGAUGGUUAGGGGUUUUGAGAGAGAGACCCCCCACAUUGGAACUGAGAGACGGUCCAGACUCCUACGGGAGGCAGCAGUAGGGAAUAUUGGGCAAUGGGCGAAAGCCUGACCCAGCCAUGCCGCGUGAAGGAAGACGGCCUUAUGGGUUGUAAACUUCUUUACUACGCGAAUAGAGGUUAGUACGAGAUACUAAUAGGAAGGUAGUGUAGUAAAAAGCACCGGCUAACUCCGUG
rnacentral:rRNA from 1 species